GACGAACGCUGGCGGCGUGCCUAAUACAUGCAAGUCGAACGCUUCUUUCCUCCCGAGUGCUUGCACUCAAUUGGAAAGAGGAGUGGCGGACGGGUGAGUAACACUUGGGUAACCUACCCAUCAGAGGGGGAUAACACUUGGAAACAGGUGCUAAUACCGCAUAACAGUUUAUGCCGCAUGGCAUAAGAGUGAAAGUCGCUUUCGGGUGUCGUUGAUGGAUGGACCCGCGGUGCAUUAGCUAGUUGGUGAGGUAACGGCUCACCAAGGCCACGAUGCAUAGCCGACCUGAGAGGGUGAUCGGCCACACUGGGACUGAGACACGGCCCAGACUCCUACGGGAGGCAGCAGUAGGGAAUCUUCGGCAAUGGACGAAAGCCUGACCGAGCAACGCCGCGUGAGUGAAGAAGGUUUUCGGAUCGUAAAACUCUGUUGUUAGAGAAGAACAAGGACGUUAGUAACUGAACGUCCCCUGACGGUAUCUAACCAGAAAGCCACGGCUAACUACGUG
rnacentral:rRNA from 1 species